rnacentral:rRNA from 1 species
AUUGAACGCUGGCGGCAGGCUUAACACAUGCAAGUCGAACGGUAACAUAAAGAAGCUUGCUUCUUUGAUGACGAGUGGCGGACGGGUGGGUAAUGCUUGGGAAUCUAGCUUAUGGAGGGGGAUAACUACGGGAAACUGUAGCUAAUACCGCGUAGAAUCGAGAGAUGAAAGUGUGGGACCUUCGGGCCACAUGCCAUAGGAUGAGCCCAAGUGGGAUUAGGUAGUUGGUGAGGUAAGGGCUCACCAAGCCGACGAUCUCUAGCUGGUCUGAGAGGAUGACCAGCCACACUGGGACUGAGACACGGCCCAGACUCCUACGGGAGGCAGCAGUGGGGAAUAUUGCGCAAUGGGGGCAACCCUGACGCAGCCAUGCCGCGUGAAUGAAGAAGGCCUUCGGGUUGUAAAGUUCUUUCGGUAGCGAGGAAGGCAUUUAGUUUAAUAAACUGGAUGAUUGACGUUAACUACAGAAGAAGCACCGGCUAACUCCGUGCCAGCAGCCGCGGUAAUACGGAGGGUGCGAGCGUUAAUCGGAAUAACUGGGCGUAAAGGGCACGCAGGCGGUGACUUAAGUGAGGUGUGAAAGCCCCGGGCUUAACCUGGGAAUUGCAUUUCAUACUGGGUCGCUAGAGUACUUUAGGGAGGGGUAGAAUUCCACGUGUAGCGGUGAAAUGCGUAGAGAUGUGGAGGAAUACCGAAGGCGAAGGCAGCCCCUUGGGAAUGUACUGACGCUCAUGUGCGAAAGCGUGGGGAGCAAACAGG